AAACUAACAAGGAUUCCCCUAGUAACUGCGAGUGAAGCGGGAUGAGCUCAAAUUUAAAAUCUGGCGUCUUCGGCGUCCGAGUUGUAAUUUAGAGAAGUGUUUUCCGCGCCGGACCGUGUACAAGUCUCCUGGAACGGAGCGUCAUAGAGGGUGAGAAUCCCGUCUUUGACACGGACCCCCGGUGCUCUGUGAUACGCUCUCGAAGAGUCGAGUUGUUUGGGAAUGCAGCUCAAAAUGGGUGGUGAACUCCAUCUAAAGCUAAAUAUUGGCGAGAGACCGAUAGCGAACAAGUACCGUGAGGGAAAGAUGAAAAGCACUUUGGAAAGAGAGUGAAACAGUACGUGAAAUUGUUGAAAGGGAAACGCUUGAAGUCAGUCGCGUCUGUCAGGGUUCAGCCUCACGGUGUACUCUCUGGUAGACGGGCCAGCAUCACUUUCGAUCGUCGGACAAGGGAGUUGGGAAUGUGGCACCUUCGGGUGUGUUAUAGCCCUUCUUCGUAUACGGCGACCGGGAGUGAGGACCGCCUUUGUAGGAUGCUGGCGUAAUGGCUUUAAACGAC
rnacentral:rRNA from 1 species